CUGAGCCGCCCUCCUUGGGCGUUUCCUCCCUAGACUUCGGGCCACGUUUCGACGUGGCCCUUUUUCUUGGGCCGG
rnacentral:sRNA from 1 species